UACGUAGGCAGCAAGCGUUGUUCGGAAUUACUGGGCGUAAAGAGUGUGUAGGCGGUGCUCUAAGUUUGGUGUGAAAUCUCCCGGCUCAACCGGGAGGCUGCAUCGAAUACUGGAAUGCUAGAGGGUGGGAGAGGUAAGCGGAAUUCCUGGUGUAGCGGUGAAAUGCGUAGAUAUCAGGAGGAACACCUGUGGUGUAGACAGCUUACUGGACCACUUCUGACGCUGAACGACGAAAGCGUGGGUAGCAAACAGG
rnacentral:rRNA from 1 species